GUGCCUAACACAUGCAAGUCGAACGCACAGCUUCUCUUCGGAGAAGUGGGUGAGUGGCGAACGGGUGAGUAAUACGUUGGUGACCUGCCCUGAGGUGGGGGACAACCGUGGGAAACGACGGCUAAUACCCCAGAUAUUGAUACUAUUAGAAGGUAUCAAUUAAAGUUCCGGCGCCUUAGGAGGGGCCAGCGGGCUAUCAGCUUGUUGGUGGGGUAAUGGCCUACCAAGGCUAAGACGGCUAGGGGGCGUGAGAGCGUGACCCCCCACAAUGGAACUGAGACACGGUCCAUACUCCUACGGGAGGCAGCAGUGAGGAAUAUUGCGCAAUGGAGGAAACUCUGACGCAGCAACGCCGCGUGAGCGAUGAAGGCCUUCGGGUCGUAAAGCUCUUUUCUGAGGGACGAGAACGGACGGUACCUCAGGAAUAAGUCCCGGCUAACUACGUGCCAGCAGCCGCGGUAAAACGUAGGGGGCGAACGUUAUCCGGAUUUACUGGGCGUAAAGCGCGCGUAGGCGGCGCUGAAAGUUGGACGUGAAAGCUCCCGGCUUAACUGGGAGAGGUCGUUCAAUACUACAGUGCUAGAGGUUGGAAGAGGAGAGUGGAAUUCCCGGUGUAGUGGUGGAAUGCGUAGAUAUCGGGAGGAACACCAGUGGCGAAAGCGACUCUCUGGUCCACACCUGACGCUGAGGUGCGAAAGCGUGGGGAGCGAACGGGAUUAGAUACCCCGGUAGUCCACGCUGUAAACGAUGAAUACUAGGUGUGGGGGGCUUUAACACCCUCCGUGCCGAAGCUAACGCAUUAAGUAUUCCGCCUGGGGACUACGGUCGCAAGAUUAAAACUCAAAGGAAUUGACGGGGGCCCGCACAAGCAGCGGAGCGUGUGGUUUAACUCGAUGAUACGCGAAGAACCUUACCUGGGUUUGACAUAUAGGUGGUAGUGAAGUGAAAGCGGAACGACCCUUCGGGGAGCCUAUACAGGUGCUGCAUGGUUGUCGUCAGCUCGUGUCGUGAGAUGUUGGGUUAAGUCCCGCAACGAGCGCAGCCCUCGUCGCCAGUUACAAGUGUCUAGCGAGACUGCCGGUAUCAAACCGGAGGAAGGUGGGGAUGACGUCAAAUCAGCAUGGUCUUUAUAUCCAGGGCUACACACACGCUACAAUGGUCGAUACAAUAGGUUGCUACAUCGCGAGAUGAUGCUAAUCCUCAAAGUCGGCCUCAGUUCGGAUUGCAGUCUGCAACUCGACUGCAUGAAGGUGGAGUUGCUAGUAACCGCGCGUCAGCAUAGUGCGGUGAAUGCGUUCCCGGGCCUUGUACACACCGCCCGUCACAUCAUGGAAGUCAGUAACACCUGAAGUUGGUGACCGAAUCGCAAGAUAGGAGCUGCCUAAGGUGGGACUG
rnacentral:rRNA from 1 species